rnacentral:rRNA from 1 species
UACAGAGGUCCCGAGCGUUGUUCGGAUUCACUGGGCGUAAAGGGUGCGUAGGCGGUCGGGUAAGUCUGAUGUGAAAUCUCACAGCUUAACUGUGAAACUGCAUUGGAUACUAUUCGGCUUGAGGUCUGGAGGGGGGACUGGAAUUCUCGGUGUAGCAGUGAAAUGCGUAGAUAUCAAGUGGAACACCAGUGGCGAAGGCGAGUCUCUGGACAUUUCCUGACGCUGAGGCACGAAAGCCAGGGGAGCAAACAGG